ensembl:snoRNA SNORD81 Small nucleolar RNA SNORD81
CAGAAUACAUGAUGAUCUCACCUCAACUUGAACUCUCUCCCUGAUUACUUGAUGAUGAGGAAAGGUCUGAUAUUCUG